GACGAACGCUGGCGGCGUGCUUAACACAUGCAAGUCGAACGGUGAAGCUCCAGCUUGCUGGAGUGGAUCAGUGGCGAACGGGUGAGUAACACGUGAGCAACCUGCCCCUGACUCUGGAAUAAGCGCUGGAAACGGCGUCUAAUACUGGAUACGAGAAGGGUCCGCAUGGGCACUUUCUGGAAAGUUUUUCGGUUGGGGAUGGGCUCGCGGCCUAUCAGCUUGUUGGUGAGGUAAUGGCUCACCAAGGCGACGACGGGUAGCCGGCCUGAGAGGGCGACCGGCCACACUGGGACUAAGACACGGCCCAGACUCCUACGGGAGGCAGCAGUGGGGAAUAUUGCACAAUGGGCGAAAGCCUGAUGCAGCGACGCCGCGUGAGGGAUGACGGCCUUCGGGUUGUAAACCUCUUUCAGCAGGGAAGAAGCGAAAGUGACGGUACCUGCAGAAGAAGCACCGGCUAACUACGUG
rnacentral:rRNA from 1 species